rnacentral:rRNA from 1 species
GAUGAACGCUGACAGAAUGCUUAACACAUGCAAGUCGAUUCAAGUUACCUUCGGGUAAUGAGGAUGGCGGACGGGUGAGUAACGCGUAAGGAACUUGCCUCUUGGUCUGGGACAACUGUUGGAAACGACAGCUAAUACCGGAUAUUAUGAGAUUCUCGCAUGGGAAACUUAUGAAAGCUAUAUGCGCCAAGAGAGAGCCUUGCGUUCCAUUAGCUAGUUGGUGGGGUAACGGCCCACCAAGGCGACGAUGGAUAGCCGGCCUGAGAGGGUGAACGGCCACAAGGGGACUGAGACACGGCCCUUACUCCUACGGGAGGCAGCAGUGGGGAAUAUUGGACAAUGGACCAAAAGUCUGAUCCAGCAAUUCUGUGUGCACGAUGAAGGUCUUCGGAUUGUAAAGUGCUUUCAGUUGGGAAGAAGCAAGUGACGGUACCAACAGAAGAAGCGACGGCUAAAUACGUGCCAGCAGCCGCGGUAAUACGUAUGUCGCAAGCGUUAUCCGGAUUUAUUGGGCGUAAAGCGCGUCUAGGCGGAAAAAUAAGUCUGAUGUUAAAAUGCGGGGCUCAACUCCGUAUUGCGUUGGAAACUGUUUUUCUAGAGUACUGGAGAGGUGGGCGGAACUACAAGUGUAGAGGUGAAAUUCGUAGAUAUUUGUAGGAAUGCCGAUGGAGAAGUCAGCUCACUGGACAGANACUGACGCUGAANCGCGAAAGCGUGGGGAGCAAACAGGAUUAGAUACCCUGGNAGUCCACGCCGUAAAC